UACGAAGGGAGCUAGCGUUGUUCGGAAUCACUGGGCGUAAAGCGCACGUAGGCGGAUGUGUCAGUCAGGGGUGAAAUCCCGGAGCUCAACUUCGGAACUGCCUUUGAUACAGCACGUCUUGAGUCCGAUAGAGGUGGGUGGAAUUCCGGGUGUAGUGGUGGAAUGCGUAGAGAUCCGGAGGAACACCAGCGGCGAAGGCGGCAUCCUGGACUGGUCCUGACACUCAGGAGCGAAAGCGUGGGGAGCGAUCCGG
rnacentral:rRNA from 1 species